AGCGAACGCUGGCGGCAGGCCUAACACAUGCAAGUCGAACGAACCUUUCGGGGUUAGUGGCGGACGGGUGAGUAACACGUGGGAACGUGCCUUUAGGUUCGGAAUAACUCAGGGAAACUUGUGCUAAUACCGAAUGUGCCCUUCGGGGGAAAGAUUAAUCGCCUUUAGAGCGGCCCGCGUCUGAUUAGCUAGUUGGUUGAGGUAAUGGCUCACCAAGGCGACGAUCAGUAGCUGGUCUGAGAGGAUGAUCAGCCACAUUGGGACUGAGACACGGCCCAAACUCCUACGGGAUGCAGCAGUGGGGAAUCUUGCGCAAUGGGCGAAAGCCUGACGCUGCCAUGCCGCGUGAAUGAUGAAGGUCUUAGGAUUGUAAAAUUCUUUCACCGGGGACGAUAAUGACGGUACCCGGAGAAGAAGCCCCGGCUAACUUCGUG
rnacentral:rRNA from 1 species